UACGGGGGGGGCAAGCGUUGUUCGGAAUUACUGGGCGUAAAGGGCUCGUAGGUGGCCAACUAAGUCAGACGUGAAAUCCCUCGGCUUAACCGGGGAACUGCGUCUGAUACUGGAUGGCUUGAGUUUGGGAGAGGGAUGCGGAAUUCCAGGUGUAGCGGUGAAAUGCGUAGAUAUCUGGAGGAACACCGGUGGCGAAGGCGGCAUCCUGGACCAAUACUGACGCUGAGGAACGAAAGCGUGGGGAGCGAACAGG
rnacentral:rRNA from 1 species